UCUCCGUAGGUGAACCUGCGGAGGGAUGAUUACAGAGUUCAUGCCCUACCGGGUAGAUCUCCCACCCUAUGUUAUUAUUACUUUGUUGCUUUGGCGGGCCGUUAGGCUCCGGCCCGACUACCGGCCCCGGCUGGUAAGCGCCCGCCAGAGGACCCAAAACCCUGAAUAUUAGUGUCGUCUGAGUACUAUAUAAUAGUUAAAACUUUCAACAACGGAUCUCUUGGUUCUGACAUCGAUGAAGAACGCAGC
rnacentral:misc_RNA from 1 species